rnacentral:lncRNA from 1 species
CCAAGGAUGUAUAAAACACAAAUAUACUUAAUUGCAAAACUUUUAUAGAGAGGUAGGCUAGGAGAUACCACAACAGGGACACCAGAGGUGCUUUUGCCUUCUGAAGAUAGGUAGACUAGGAUGUUCUUUUUGUAGAGAUGGGAUCUCACUGAGUUUGCUCAGGCUGGUCUCAAACUCCUGGCUUCAAACAAUCCUCCUGCCUCAGCUUCCCAAGUAGCUGGUAACAGGCAUGCUUGGCUAAUUUUUAAAAAAAUUGUUUUCAGAUAUGGAGUCUCGUGAUGUUUCCCCAGGCUGGUCUCAAACUCCUGGCCUAAAGAUCCCUCCACCUCAGCCUCUUAGAGUAGCUGGGAUUAUAUUCUCGAGCGACUGUGC